CCUACGGGAGGCAGCAGUGGGGAAUAUUGGGCAAUGGGCGCAAGCCUGACCCAGCAACGCCGCGUGAAGGAAGAAGGCUUUCGGGUUGUAAACUUCUUUUAGGAGGGAAGAGCAGAAGACGGUACCUCUUGAAUCAGCCACGGCUAACUACGUGCCAGCAGCCGCGGGAAUACGUAGGUGGCAAGCGUUGUCCGGCUUUACUGGGUGUAAAGGGCGUGCAGCCGGGAAGACAAGUCAGAGGUGAAAUCCCGGGGCUCAACCGCGGACCCGCAUUUGAAACUGUUUUGCUUGAGUACCGGAGAGGUCAUCGGAAUUCCUGGUGUAGCGGUGAAAUGCGUAGAUAUAAGGAAGAACACCAGUGGCGAAGGCGGAUGACUGGACGGAAACUGACGGUGAGGCGCGAAAGCGUGGGGAGCAAACAGGAUUAGAUACCCUAGUAGUC
rnacentral:rRNA from 1 species